ensembl:lncRNA
UUGUUUUCCAAAAAAACUGCCUUAAAUCAGUGCACUAGCAGAAAACUAAACCAUAUCUUCAUUAAUAAGUGAUUAUUCAAUGUAUAAAAAUUCUGAAAAGAGUGAAAAAACAUUGUCAAAGAAACCAAAAAGUGCUGAACUUACUGUCAUAUUUAUUCAAGUUUUGUGUGGAUUUAAGCCUCCUCUACAACUGUACAUCUCAUUUUAAUGCCAGUUUUUCUUAUCAUGUUCCCAAAAUUCGAAUCAAUUCAGUUGUUUUUCCUAAAAAAAAGCCUUAAAUCAGUGCACUGAUCAUUAAUACCUGAUUAUUCAGUGUAUAAAAUUUCAGAAAACAAUGAAAAAAACACAUAGAAAGGUAUUUAAAACACGUUUUUGUCUGAAAAACCAGAACACGCUCAGCUUGCUGUCUUAUUUAUUCAGGUUUUAUGUGGAUUUAAACCUGCUGUGCAGCUGUACAUCUCAUUUUUAUGCCAGUUGUUCUCAUUAUGAUCCCAAAAUUCUAAUUAACUCGGUUGAUUCUCCAAAAAAAAAAAAAAAAUAGUCAUAACUGGAGAAAACUGAAUCAAAUCAGAGACGAUAUUCAGAAUGAAAACAUGUUUAAGCUGCUGUACUUGACUAGAAGAUUCCCACACAGUACUUCCAGUCUUCGUGCUAAGCUAAGCUAAGCUAAGCUAAGCUAACACCCUGCACAGAAACAACUGAUGUCCACGUUUCCAGGACGACGGAGGAACCAGAAGAUUUACGCAGAUGUCAGACGUGUUUGUUCAAAACAGAGCAGAGACGAGGUUUUUCCCUCCCGGCUGCGACUGGAGCAGCCUGAAUAAUGGAUGACGAGGACAGAAACCUUCCUCCCCCUCUUCCUCACCCUCUUUGCUUACGUUACACAAGGACACGGCGGAUGAAAAUAGCGCCGCCGUCCUCAUGUGAUGUGGAAUUAAAAGCACACUGGCGCGGAGACACUUGUUUCAGUUCAUCCGUCCAUCCUGUAGCUUCACCUCCAUCCGUCCAUCCCUCCGUCUGUGCAGCGACUUUUCACCUCAGCAAGCUUUUUGGAAUAUGAUGAUGUACAUGUGAUUGUAAUAAAGAGAUUUUAAUUAGCUACGACACCGACGUUUUGUCUUUUUACUGACAACAAACUACACAUUUCAGGUUGUUUUGGUCAUCCAGAGC